UACGGGGGGAGCAAGCGUUGUUCGGAUUUACUGGGCGUAAAGGGCGCGUAGGCGGCUACGCACGUCCGUUGUGAAAUCGCUCGGCUCAACUGGGCGGGGUCAGCGGAUACGGUGUAGCUGGAGCAAGCUAGGGGGCAAUGGAAUUCCCGGUGUAGUGGUGGAAUGCGUAGAUAUCGGGAGGAACACCAGUGGCGAAGGCGGUUGCCUGGAGCUUUGCUGACGCUGAUGCGCGAAAGCGUGGGGAGCGAGUCCGG
rnacentral:rRNA from 1 species